GAAUAUUGGACAAUGGGCGCAAGCCUGAUCCAGCCAUGCCGCGUGGGUGAAGAAGGCCUUCGGGUUGUAAAGCCCUUUUGUUGGGAAAGAAAACUUUCCGAUUAAUACUCGGAGAGAAUGACGGUACCCAAAGAAUAAGCACCGGCUAACUUCGUGCCAGCAGCCGCGGUAAUACGAAGGGUGCAAGCGUUACUCGGAAUUACUGGGCGUAAAGCGUGCGUAGGUGGUUCGUUAAGUCUGAUGUGAAAGCCCUGGGCUCAACCUGGGAAUUGCAUUGGGAACUGGCGGGCUAGAGUACGGUAGAGGGUAGUGGAAUUCCUGGUGUAGCAGUGAAAUGCGUAGAGAUCAGGAGGAACAUCCGUGGCGAAGGCGACUACCUGGACCAGUACUGACACUGAGGCACGAAAGCGUGGGGAGCAAACAG
rnacentral:rRNA from 1 species